UCUCUAUUCCAUCCACUCCAAAGAGCUUUGAAGAAAUGACUAAAUAUGAAGACUUUAAGCUUCUCAAGAUCCGGGUAUUUCCUGCUCUCUUAACCCACAUUCUCUCUUUCACUCUUGUGUUUGUUUAUAGAUUCUUUCUGUACAGAGAGCAAAGUUAGAUAUUGGUCUUUUCCCGGAGAAUCUUUGUUCUAGUUUUUGUUGUUUCUUCUCUUCUUCUUACAUUUCAUUUCUCUCUCUCUCUUUUUUCGUGUUCUGAAAGUGAACAUGCACUGUGAUGGGUGUAAGCAGAAAGUAAAGAAACUGUUUCUUCUACCUUCUCCUUCUAAUUGCUGAAUAACUUGCUGCCACUUGGCUGUUUCUCUCUUAAUUUGUUGGCCGAUUGUAGAAUUUAUCUAAAAAGUAUGCAAAGUAAAAUUAAAUGCAAUUUGAUGAAUUUGAUUAAAUACCUUGUGAAAUCAGAACAGGACACAAACACUAAAUUGUGAAGGUUUGAUUUUUACUCAAAAUUGUUAAAUUUCUAGUUAUAAAGAGGAUUUAUACUCUGCUCUCUGAUGUAUAUGUAUAAUCUUCAUGAGUCUCUCAUCACUGUCUCUAAAAAAAAACCUAAUCGACAGUUGGCCAACAAAUUAGAGAGAACAGCCAAGUGGCAACAAGUUAUUCAGCAAUUAGAAGGAAAAGGUAGAAGAAAGUGAGCACCUUCAAUUCUGUGAAGCAGUUUCUUUACUUUCUGCUUACACCCAUCAUAGUGCAUGUUCACUUUCAGAACAUGAAAAAAAAAAAAAAGACAGAGAAAUGAAAUGUAAGAAGAAGAGAAGAAACAACAAAAAGUACUAGAACAAAGAUUCUCUGGGAAAAGACCAAUAUCUAACUUUGCUCUCUGUACAGAAAGAAUCUAUAAACAAACACAAGAGCUUAAAAGAAAGAAUCUGGGUUAAGAAAGCAGGAAAUACCCGGAGAAGAACCUAGCGCGGUAGGCAAUGCGAAGGAUGUGGGAGAAAGUGGCGGGCGAGUGUUUGAUGGAAUGGGUGAGAUAGCACCAUUUGAAGAAGUCAAUUUUUUUUUAGGGGUGGAGGGAUUGGGUGCGGAGGAUUUGGAGGAGGAGAGGGUCGGAGAGAGGAGGAGGAGGGUGGGGGAGUGUAAGUACAUUAGACUAUCCCUAUUCAACACAUGACUUUCCCAAAGCCACAAGGAAAUCAAAAAAUGCAAAGCCUAGGAGAGUAUCUCUUCUACUUGUUCGGAGGCUUAAAGAAAAUCAAAGAAGUCUGCAAGAUCAGAUCAUCAAGAGAAAAUCAAGGAGGAUCACUCUCACUGAUCUUGAGUAUAAGUGGGAGGUUGCGGGUACCGGAUUGGGAGAGGGUUUUGGUGAUGGAGGCCACCAGGAGUAUGUCUCCAAGUUCAAAAGCAGCGGCAGCAGCGCCGAUGUGGGGUUUGGCUUGGAAUAGAGGCCUUCCAUGGCGCAUUGCAUUUCCAAGAACAUAUAAGGAUUUGAUCUUUCUCACUUCAUGGGUGGCAAAGACUCGAGCUUUAACCCUUUGGAGAAACCAAACAAGGUUCUAGUCUUGAGCCUUUGGACAUCCACAGCUUCACUCUCAUAUGGUUUUUUAGCGUUUUGGGCUUAUACUAGUUCAUGAUGUACAAUUUUUGAUAUGAUUAUAAAAGUAGCAAAGAGUAAUAUUUUAGCCUAAUUGUAUGAUUUGCGAUGUGGGCGAGCUCGUAUUAUUUUAACGUUGCGACUACAUAUAUAAUUUGUGUAAAACUUUUCGUUACUUCGAGAAUGAAAUUGAGACUUUUUGAACAA